AUUUAUAUAGUUUAAAAAUAAACAUUACACUUUCACUGUAAAGAUAAAGAAGCCCUUUUAUAAAUA
rnacentral:tRNA from 1 species